AUUAGUGUUAAGUAGCAUUGCUGACCGGUUUUUUGAACCACCACUUUUGAUCGAUAACUAGGCGAGAACUCUAGUGUAGUGCACAUUUGUUUGGUUGAGAUUUUUUAGUGUUUUUAUGUGCACAAAGACAUAUCGUUCAACCCUAACAUGUUCUCUUUAGGUGGGGUCGAGAGUGAAGGACUGGGGAGCUUGGAAGUAGGGGAAAUGGCACCUCGAGGGGUUCAGGUCUCCAUGAUCAAUAACCACAAUUUUGAUCUGAAUGAGCUGCCGACUGAGCAUGAGUAGCUCAAGAAGGAGUAGUCACCCAUGGAGCAAGAGUAGCCGCCUAUGGCACAACAUGAGCUUUAAUAUUCACAAUGGUUGGAGGCUACUCAAAUCCCGCUUGUGUGAGAAAAAAUAACUCUUGGCCCAAAGUAUAGCCCUGUCAGAAAUUAUCGAAACAAUAUCCUUAUCCCAAGGACGAUUGUAAAGCUUAUGUGGAACUUUUCAAUUUCUUGCUUCCUAUUUUUUGGUGAUUGACUGACGCUAUUGCUAAACUUGAGGGAAGGACUUGGUAUACUGCCUCAUGAUCAAUGUGUCACCUGGAAUGGCUUUUCUAUUCAUUUCCCAUGAUGGUUUUGAUAUGUAGAUUGUUUGGACAAGCAUUUAUUCAUUCGGUAAAGCUUUGUGAAACAUCAACGGUGUGAAAUGAUAGUAGGUCAAGAAGUGUGUUGGAUCAUGAGAUAACAUAUUUUCUAAGUUGUUAAUCAUGUGUGUUAACACCAUGGGUAGUAUGAGAGAAGGUCAACAUGCAUGUUUGGGUCUGAAAUGACCUCAUGACCCAAAAGGGAGAGAAACAUGCCUAAUAGGAAUAUGAACAAUAUGGAAGUUACUUGUUGCAUGGAUGUUAACUGUGGUUAUGAAACCACACAAGAUGUCAGAGGACCCGCAUCCUUACAUAUCAAGGUUGACUUCACAUGCCAACUGGAUUUCGACUAAAUUAUUGUAUAUGCAUGUAUGUUAUAUCUUGACAUCUUACCAAACAAAAAACACCAAAAAAUACACUAUUUACUUCUCUUUGAUGCAUAUUCUAGUUGGAGAGUAAUCAUAACCUUAUGUGGAUAUUUUUCCAUAAUAGAAUAUAUAAUGGUCUAGUGAGGCAAGGUGUAAAUGGAGAGGACAAUAGUCGAACAUGAAAACAUCCAACAUUGUGUUAUAGUUGCAUCAAGUUGUCUAGUGAGUCAAUAUGGAAAUGGAGGAGGCUCAUAGGGCAACACGAGAACACCCAACAUGUUGCUCUACUUACUUCCUAUUGGUACGAAGAGACCGAGAGUAGUGAAAGGUUAAUCAUAACACAUGGACAAGAUAUCUCAUACAAGAUGAAAAUGGAGUGAGUCUUGUAUGAAAAUGCUAACAAAGUAUGAGUGUGCAUAGCAUGCCAUCCCCUCCCUUUCUUGUUCGAGUUUCCUUCACCAACCCCAUAGUACCCUGAUCAACACUAUUAUUUGGAUAUGCUUCUCAUCUGAGAAAGAAUAGUUAUUGAGAGACAUUUAUAUCAUUGUCUAGAUAGACUUGUUCAAGGGCCAAUAAUGGAGGUGUCUUAUCUAUUAUAGCCACAUUCCGGAGAAGAAUAAAAAAAGUAGACACAACCUGAUAAUUUAUUGAGAUUUGAAUUGAGGAUCCACAUACAUCAACUAUCCCACAUGUGAAUCAAAUCCACAUCCUACAUGGGCAUUGGGCUUUAGUUGGACUACCACUUUAUGGACAAGCCAUGUGCUCCAUGUAGUCUAUGUUGCAAAGGCGGGAGGACAAGGAGCAAAUAGUUUUUGAUGGCUGGACAUUGAAGUUAUUUGUCAAGAAAUUUGUUUCCUGACAUGGUUUGUUUAUUUCAUUAUUUAGUAUUUGAUAUCGGUUCAAUGCUCUAGUAUGUAACAUUCUUCUCACAUUUUGGGUCUAGCUCUUGGUGUUCAUGAGUUCAUUACUUAUGUUAACUAUUAUUGUUGUGGCCACUUGUUCGACAAGAGACUAUAAAGUUAACUAAGAUACUCUCAUAUUUAUAUUAAUAUAGUUGGCACUGAGGUAAUAAUAAACCUUGAAUACUACUCAUAUUUGUCAAAUAGGAGGUCAAGCUGGAUCUGUCUGGCGCAUCAUCUAUGGUCACAUGGUGUAUUGUCUAUUCUAACCCCAAUGAGUAUUGCAGAAUGACAUGUUCCUGCGAGGAGGAAUGAGUCACUCUUUUGUGUCAAGGGGUGAUGCCAUGCCUCAUAAUUGACAAUAAAAAAUUAACCACCUACAUCAAAAGUCUAACCCAAGACAGGGAAUAGGCGCCAUUGCAAUUUUACCGCACAAAGUCAUCGGUAUUUUGCAAUUGAAUGUUCCCCAUGUUGUGACUGAGAACACAAAACACAAAACACCCCACAAAACACUAUUCACUUCUCUUCGAUGCAUAUUCUAGUGGAAGGGUAGUCAUAACCAUAUGGGAAUAUUUUACCACAAUAGAAUCUAUAAUGGUCUAGUGAGGCAAGGUUUAAAUGGAGAGGAUAAUAGGCGAACAUGGAAACAACCAACAUUGUGUUUUACUUGCAUCUAGUUGUAUAGUGAGAUAAUAUUGAAACGGAGGAGGCUUAUAGGGCAACAUGAGAACACCCAAUAUGUUGCUCUACUUACUUCCUAUUGUUACCAAGGGACUGAGGCUCGAGCAUGGUUAAUCAUAACACAUGGAGAAGAUCUCUCAUACUAGUUGAUAAUAGAAUGAAUCUUGUAUGAAAAUGCUAACAAAGUAUGAGUGUGCAUAACAUGCCAUCUCCUCCCUUUCUUGUCGUAUUUUCCUUCACCAACCCCCAUAGUACCCUGAUCAGCACUAUUAAUUUGAUAUGCUUCACAUCUGAGUUAGAAUUGUGAUUGGGAAUAGUUGUAUCAUUAUCUAAGUAGACUUCUUCAAGGGGAAAUAAUGGACGUGUCUUAUCUAUUAUAGCCACAUUCCGGAUAGGAAUAAAAAAGUAGACAUAACAAGAUAAUUUGUUGAGAUUUGAAUCGAAAAUACAACAUACAUCAACUAUUCUACAUGUAAAUCAAAUCCUCAUCCUACAUCGGCAUUCGGCUUUAGUUCGACUACCACUUUAUGGACAAGCCGUGUGGUCCAUGUGGUCUACGUCACAAAGGCCAGACGACAAGGAGAAAAUAGUUGUCGAUGAUUGAUCAUUGAAGUUAUUUGUCAAGAAAUUUUUCCCCGACAUGGUUCAUUUAAUUCAUUAUUUAGUAUUUGAUAUCGGUUCUAUGCUCUAAUGUGUAACCUUCUUCUCACGAUUUGGGUCUAGCUAUCAGUGGUCAUGAGUUCAUUACUUAUGUUAACUACUAUUGUUGUGUCCACUUGUUCGCCAAGAGACUAUAAAGUUAACUUAUAUCCUCCCGUAUUUAUAUUAAUAUAGUUUGUGGUUAGGUAAUCCUUGACCUUGAAUAUUACUCACAUUUGUCAAAUAGGAGGCCAAGCUGGAACUGUCUAGUGCAUCAUCUGUGGUCACAUAUGGUGUAUUGCCUAUUCUAAACCCAAUGAGUAUUACAUUAUGGCAUGUGCCUGCGAGGAGGAACUGAGUUACUCUUUUAUGUCUAGGGGAGACGGCAUGCCUAAUAAUUCUCAAUGAAAAAUUAUAGCCUACAUCAAAAGUCUAACCCAAGAAAGUGAAUAUGUGCCAUUGUAGUUUUACAACACUAAGGGUGUGUUCUGAUCUUGUCGUGCUCCACGCUUCCCAAAUUCCUGGAGCAGAUACGAGCCGAACGAAAUAGCAGCGAGAAGCUAACUCCAGGAAGCUAGGAUUGACCGCAGCGCAAAAUCAUGAAGCAGACUCGGCCCAGCUCCACCAAUCCGAAAAGCUGAAGUUGGCCGAUAUUACAAGUAAACUGCCACAGCCAAGUCAUACGAGUCGAACCGGUACGCUCGAUCUGUUUGAUCGCUCCUCGUUCCCUCGCUCGUGCUCCCUCGCUGCUCCUCUACAAGGCCGAUUUGGGUUGCCUCCAGUCAGCCCAACUAGCUCGAACAGGCCACAACCCUUCUAGCUAGGUUGCAGUGCCGCGAGAAGCUGCAAACCGAGCCAAACGGAUUUUUCAUCGCUGCUUGGAGUGAGAAGCUACUCUGAAUAGGUGAAUUUCUGAAGUUUUGGGAAGCUAGAGGAGAUCAGAAAAGGCCCUAAGUCAUCGGUAUUUCAUAAUUGAAUGUUCUCCAUGUCGUGACUUCUGAUGGUGUAAACCCAAAUAAUUGCCAUUGUGAAAUUAAGUUCCUUUCGUGAGUCAGAACCCACAUCCGUAAAGAUGUGCCACUACAAUCCACCUCAUGGCUAUCUUGGAGUCCUUAAUAUAAUCAAGUGUGCCCAAUAUGGUGACUUAAUAUGUACUUAUUGACCCUACGAAGCUAAUCGCCUCCAUCAAGACCCCUUCCUGGUUCUCCUAUAACUAGAUUCCUCGAAACCACGAGAAUCCUUACAAUGGGAUAACAACUUAGCACCUUUCGUUUUCACAUAGUAAGAAGAGUUGCUCCUUGGAUAGCACGGUACGAUCAAAGGUGUAACCUGUGUUUUGGAGCGAGUUAUUGUCUCGAAACUUUGUUCUCAACUAUUCCGAAUCCAGCAAACGGAGGCCAUUGGGUCAAAGCUGUAGCGCACGCCCUGUAGUUUUCAAGUGGGGCGAGACAACUUAGCUAGGAACCUAUUUUCAUUCUGACCAGCUCCCUGAAAACAAUGUUCGACUUCAUGUGUAGUCGGUGUAGAUGUGUCAUUGCAAUUCCACCACUAGGAUAUCACCAAGUCCUAUGUAUUACAUGUCAACAUAUGCCACCAUAUGGUUACUUGACAAAUUAAAUGGAUUUCACCAAGAUUUCAUGUUACAAUUAUAGUGAAGAUAGUGACUCACAUGUCAGCCUCCCUGACGGGAAGCAAAAUCACUCUGACUUUGGCAACCUAAUUCUUGGCGGGUUCAAGCAAACAUGUUGGAUUUGUAUUUUAUUUAUUUCAACAUAUAUAAUUCAUAUAAAUAAAUCAAUUCAUAAUAGGAGUCUUGGAGACACCCAUGUCAAUAAUGUGAAAUUAUGGGAAAUCUUAUUAUGUGCAUCAACAUAAGCCAAAACUCGUGGCUUAAGAGAUAUGUUUACAAUCUUCCAAUGGUUAUUCCCCCUACUAAAUUCAUGAUGUUAACUAGUUCCCAUAAGUUGAGAAAGAAGUUUAGUCAUGGGAUCAAUGUCCAGUGCAUCAUAUUUCCAGUUCCCAAAAAAAAUUAUUAUGGAAGUUGAGAAAGAAGUUUGGGCAACAUAUUUCCAGACACCUGUCAUGUCUAGGAUCUUCUCAAGCCUAGGUAAGCUUAGUCACGGGAUCAAUGCAGGCUAUUAGUACAUUGACCCGGUUCUUAAUUCAAGUCCUCCUUGCUAGAUACAAUAUUGAAUGGAAAGUACAUAAUCAAUUUAUUUAAGUGGGUGAACAAUGUUGGCUAGUAUAUUUCAACACUCACCUCACAUGCAUCUUUUAGAGGCAUAUAAUGCAUCGUGAUGGAAACAUUUUUUCUAUAGACUAAAUUCCAAUGGAAAAUUUUAAUUAAUUUAAUUAGUAGCAAUCUCGUAUGGUAAGGAUAUAUGGCAAAUGAAAAUGAGGGCUUAAAUGCUACUUGUUGGCACACAAAAGUCAUGUUGUCUUUUUCCUCCCAUGUUGAUCCUUUGUGGUUUGACAUUAGGCAUUCCAAAGAGAACAAGUUAUCUUUACACACCUCUAGAGCUACUAGACCCUGGAUGUUCCACCAUGAAUGUCCAUAUGGUGCAAUGAGUGAUAGCGAGCUAUAUUAGAACAUAUAGUUUACACCGUUAAAGUAAUUAAAUGGGCUAUUUUGGCUACUAUGAAAAAUAGUAUUUUAAGAGAAAACUAUGUAAGAGUUUGUGAUCUUUGUAUGUAAAAGCAUUAUUUGCCUUUGCUUGGUGUUCACGCAGUUUGAUUUAUGGCAAAAAUGUAAAAUCAUGGGACAAUAAUUGUUGAUAUUCUUUGCGGAGAAAGCGAGAUCUUUCCACUUUUCAGAUCACACAAAGUAUUGUUUUUCUUAUAGGGGUGAUAUACAGUGUUCUAAAUCUGCACUUGUGAUUCGUUGUCCAUUUAAAUUUAAAUGGUUUCUUCCACAGAUUAUGUUGGUUUGUUGUUGUAUUUAUCUCAGCACUAAAGUAUACUGAUGUUAGCUAAGUCCAAUCAAAGGCCCAUGUUUUUAUCAUGUUAUGCAAAUUAGUAAGCUAAGAUCUUACCAAACUCAAGUUACAUAAGCCCAGACUACGUGAAAUACACAUCAUGCAGUACACAUGUUCAUCUUAGUGUUAUGUUAUACUUGGCUUCGAGAUAACAAAUGGUAUCAAUUAUUACUAUCUUUUGCAGCUUGUUUCUGCCUGGUCAUCGUAGAAUUAUCUUAUGUGGUCUCCCAAGGUUCAUGCAACUUGGAUUUUCAUACUUUGGUAGUAUUAGUGUUCACUAGGACUAGGUGCCACUCUGUAGAAGCUAAGGAUACAGAUGGAGAAAGUAGUCAUGGUUUUUUUUUUCAAAAAGUUUGUUCAUAUCUAUAAGAGGUUUAUGAUUUUUCAGUGUAUACUGUUGUGAAACCUAGAGUGUUUUAUCUCAUUUAACAUUGAACUACGCUUUCAAGGAAAAACCUUCAUUUGACAUCGAACUAUGCAUGCAGGGCAAACACCCCGUGCUUCGUUGCCACCGCGCCGCGAACCCUGGGAGCUUGAACCUGGAUGGGUGUGAACUUAAGAUUGAUGUCAAUGUUAGGGGUCAGUCAUUGAUAGAGAAUAAAGGGGACUUUGCGAAACUGUUAUUAAUAAUAUGGAUGAAACAUUGCCUUGUGGAGAGAAUAAGAUAUUUCAAGAGAUAUUUAUAAAUGGAUGCAUACUUGCAAUAGCAGUACAAAAUAUGAUGCUAACAUUUUAUUUUCAUUGUUGUUCCCAUUAAACUUCUGGUGGUGGCUCCAUUAUUCACAGCCUCGCACAUGAAAAUGUUAUUUCGUUCGGGUAAAUGUUGCGUGUCGUUGCUCCUGUAGUUUUGCGGUUUGCAUGUCCUUGAAACUUGUGAAUUGGAUUUUGCGAAGUUGCAAUGCAAAUUUGGGAUGCAGGGAAGAUAAUAAACAAUGCUUUCUAAGAGCAUUGGAUAUUGGAUGCGACUCAGAAAGAACGCAUGCAAACGCAAGAUGCAAGACGUAGUAGGCACAUGUCCAGGUUUAUUAAGAGCAUCUACACCGGACGCCUCAUAUCUGUCACAAACGCAAAAUUGCCGGUCAGCACUAGGACGCAAAAUUGCCACCCAACAGGAUCUGUCAAACCCGGCCCAAACGUCUAGACAUGACCGCACUCCCCAUAUCCAGCCCAUAUCUCGGACGGAUAUGUGGAAGCCCAGAGACGCCCGGACACACCCGCCAUGUAGGAUCCGGCCGAGUGCGGCCCACCCGACCCUACAUAAAUUGGACCCUAUCCGCACUCCGAGCGAAACCCAAGCGGCAUUCAACUCCACUCUACUCCUCGCCAGGCCACUCCCGUCCACCCACAAGCCCCAUUUGCGAAUCUCCCACCAUUUCGAGCCGUUGAACCGGAGAUCGUCCCACGCGGCCCCAAGGAGGAGAUGGUCGACUGCCGUGCGCUUCUCCACUACCGGAGGAGUCCGCCCAGCAGCGGUCGAAAUCCAUCUGGUGGGAAUCCAUUGCGUCUGCCACAAUGGAGCAUGGAUCCCGCCCGAGGGCAGUCUACGCUGCCUUAGCAGAGGCAGUGCACUCCGUCUGGCGUCCGAACGCCGUGGAGGAUACGCAACCACUUUGUUGGCGCACUGAGAAAGAUAUGCACACCCGCUUAACGUCUGAUAUUAAUAUGGUGUGUGGCGCAUCCACCGUGUUAGGCAAUGGGCGGGGGAACCCGCGGCAGCCCUCGUGCCAGACGCCAGCGGGGCAGACUCGCACUCUUCGGUGCCUCGUAUCGUGCCCGGCAGCCCUUGGCGCCGAAAUCAUGUCGUGUUGGAUGCGGCCGGCUCCACCAUCAUGGAUCAAUCAUCGACCUCACAUCCACCGACGACGGGAGAGCACGGGCUCCGACGAGAAAGAGUAGGCCAUGGGAGAUGGCGCCGAAUCGAGUUUCUUUUGCCGGGUCGUGUCCCAUGUCCUACUCUACCUCACCAGAGACCGACCCUCCACUUUGACAGGCUCAGACAGCCAUCGGACAUGGACAGUUUAUGAACAACAAGGACAGUCGCUGGCACAAAUUUAGACUACAGCCGUCGACGCGAGGUAAGUGCGGCAUGAGUUAAUCGCUGAAGAGGUUGGGCCGUUGUCGCCGGUUUGUCGUACAGUUGCCGACAUAGUCGUCCAUGACCACCAGAUCGACGCCGCCGUCACUGCAAGUCUAGGCGUCUCUGUAGUGGCUGAAGUCAUUUUAGUGUAUUUUCUUUGUAUUGUGAUUAUUGCAUACUGUGUUGUGUAUUGUGGCGUAUUUUCUUUGUAUUGUGAUGAUUGUAUACAGUACAAUGUAUUGUGGCAUAUUUUUUGUGGUCUAUUUUUAAAAAGAAAACUAUAAAUAGCUAAAAGUGGGGUGCAGAAUAAAUUUAUACCCGCCACUACAAAACAAAUGCCAGUACUGACACAUAUUUUUGCCCACCAUUAAUAGUAAUGACCCCCACUGCUACAAGAUCGAGGUCGAUGGCGGGCUGUUUGUAACGCCCGCCACUGUUAUAGUCAUUGGCAGGUGGAGCGCCCGCCACUAAUGCCAUGUUGCCAGUGGCAGGCGCCUCUGAGAGCCUUACCCGUCAUUACUAGGCUUUUGAUGCCGCCACUGCUACGCAUUCCUGCGAUAGUGUGCAAUUGCAUAUCUAGUAGAACAUAUACAACUAUCCUCCCAACAAACAGUUUCGUUCUACCAUGAAGUUAUAGUCGGGGUGAAGACAUUCAUUUAUAAUUGGAAGUGACGUUGCAGUUGCAUAUCAAGUAGGAGAUAUUUAACUGCCCUAAUGACAAAACACUUUUGUUCCCUGAGUUACAGUCGCAUUGGAGACAUGCAUUAGCGAAAUGGCACCACCUGUAGUUGCGUGUUUGGAGUUAGACAUGCAACUAGCUCCACAAUAAUAAUCUGAAUUUUAAGUUUUAAUGAAUUUUAAAUUAAAGAAAAAAGAAAAGAUGAGGAUAUAAAAACAGAAAUAGAGAAAACAAACAAUAGGAAAAAUCCUAAAAAAGGCAAAAACAAAGAAAGGAAAAACCUGUUUGAAGUUUCUAGAAGCUUCAUAAAACCAGUAGAAAGAGUCCUACAUGGGGCGGCCCACUCACACAUGUAAAAAGAGGCGGGCGAGGUGUAUGUCGACUAGCUCAGAGUUGGGGAAUCCUAUUCCGCGCAUAGGUCGCUACGUAGCGACCUAGCGCGUACCCCUCGGGUUUGUGGUCCUCUUCGGGUCGGUCCAUUCCAGGUUCUUCCCCAUACCGGUUUUCAGGAAAGUUCUAGAUCUUUUUUUCUAUUUUCUUUGUUUUCUUCUAGUUUUUUCUUUCUUUUAUAUUUUAUAUAUUACUUCUUAUUUUCUUUUACUUUAAAUUUUCUUUUUUGGUGUUGCAAACAUAUUUUCAAAUUCGUAAACGUUUAUUGAAUUCAAGAACAGUUUUUGAGUUGACAAACAUAUAUCUGAAAUAAUGAACAUUUUCUAAUUCGACAAUACAUUUUAAAAUCACAAAAUAACAGAAAAAUAACUUUUGAGGACAUUUUUUAAAAAUUCUGAACAUGUUUGUCAAUCGGCCGACAUUUUUUGAAUCAAUGAACAUUUCUAUGAAUUGACAUGAUUUUUUUGAAUUGGUAAACAUUUUUUGAAUCGAUGACCAUUUUUUGAAUCAAUGAAUAUUUUUUACAUGAAUGAACAUUUUUGGAAAUUCACAAUAAUUUUUUUGAACAUUUUAAUAACUUGUUGAAUAUUGCUUGUAUCUCAACUUCCGUCCUGAUUAAUUAAAUAAAGUGGUGAUACCCAUCAAAAAAAAUAGCUACGGUUGGCACAAAAAUCGCGAUCAACGAAGGAAUAGACCUUCUCCCAGGAAGACCCGAUCAGACUCGGAAUCCCGGUUUACAAGACAUUUCGAUAAUGGUAAAACAAGACCAGCAAAGCCUCCCGCUGUGCCGACAAAUCCCGAUAGGAGCUGCACAUAUCUCGUUCUCAAGGCACACCGGAUUAUCCAAACUUCCGGUAGGCCAGCCCAGAGUUGCCCCUGGUGGCCACCGGCGGCUGGCAGGUUGGACCAACACUCACGACGAGCACUNNNNNNNNNNNNNNNNNNNNNNNNNNNNNNNNNNNNNNNNNNNNNNNNNNNNNNNNNNNNNNNNNNNNNNNNNNNNNNNNNNNNNNNNNNNNNNNNNNNNNNNNNNNNNNNNNNNNNNNNNNNNNNNNNNNNNNNNNNNNNNNNNNNNNNNNNNNNNNNNNNNNNNNNNNNNNNNNNNNNNNNNNNNNNNNNNNNNNNNNNNNNNNNNNNNNNNNNNNNNNNNNNNNNNNNNNNNNNNNNNNNNNNNNNNNNNNNNNNNNNNNNNNNNNNNNNNNNNNNNNNAAAUAAAGAUGACCCUUGAGUCUGCAGAACCCAAGGGAAAAAGGCUUAGGUAGGCAAAUGGUAAAACCAAGGUUGGGCCUUGCUGGAGGAGUUUUAUUCAAAGCGAACUGUCAAGGGGGUCCCAUAAAUCACCCAACCGCGUAAGGAACGCAAAAUCCGGGAACAUAACACCGGUAUGACGGAAACUAGGGCGGCAAGAGUGGAACAAAACACCAGGCAUAAGGCCGAGUCUUCCAUCCUUUACCAAGUAUAUAGAUGCAUUAAUUAAAUAAGAGAUAUUGUGAUAUCCCAACAUAAUCAUGUCCAUCAUGGAGCAAUCUUCAACUUCACCUGCAACUAGCAACGCUAUAAGAGGGCUGAGCAAAGCGGUAACAUAGCCAAGCAAUGAUUUGCUAGGAAUGGUGAAAAGGUUAGAGGCUGACAUGGCAAUAUGGGAGGCAUGGUAAACAAGUGAUAGGUAGCGCAGCACAGCGAUAGAACGAAGCAACUAGCAAGAAAAGAUAGAAGUGGUAUCAAGGGUAAUGGUCAUCUUGCCUGAAAUCCCGAUAGGAAGAAGAACGAGUCCAUGAAGAAGACAAACGAACGUAGUCGAACAAAUCCUCACAACUCCGGAACGAAACCGAAGCUAACGAAAGAAGCAAACCGGAAAGAAGCAAAGAACAUGGUAAACACACACACAUAAACAUGGCAUGAUGCACAAACAAGUAUGAUGCAUGUCCGGUUUAAUGAGGCAUGGCAUGGCAAAGUGCAACAAACAAUACUACAAGUUAAGUGGAGCUCAAUAUGCAACGAGUUUCAUAUUGACGAAACACCACAUCAACUAUUUAGUUCUCUCUCGUUUAGGCUAACAAACAAUAUUUAAUGUUGUUAAACAUGUCAAGAGGUGAAACAUAAUUAAACUAACUAUUUAGGCAAGUUUAAAUGAGGCCGGAAACAACAAACAACAAUUCCGGUAAAUCCCCAUAUGUCAAUUAGCAAUUUUAAAGCAAACAACAGUUUUAACCAUUUUAAAUGUUGUUAUCAUGAUGCGGAUGACAUAUGCAAGUUUUAUGCAAUUUUAUGAAAAUGUUGACAUGAGCAUGUUAUGAAGCAUUUGGUCACCAUGGCGGAACGAAAAGGGUGCCACGGCAACGAUAACGAAAAUGGUGCCACGGCAACAUAUCCGAAAAUGAUGCCACGGCAACAUAUCGGUCCCGAUAACUCGAGUGAGAUACCGAUGCAAAUGAGAAGUGUGACGUGAGCGAGUCAUGCAAGAUGGUGGGGUGAUCCCAGCUACCGGGUUCCCACGGCUUAGUGGCAUGGCAAAGAGCGACAAUUCGGACGCGGUGCACACACAAGCAUCUCAUACAACACAUAUUCAUUCGGUCCACGGUUGAUCGUCUCGGGGCUUAUACCUUCGAAGCGUGCGUUUUCGGAGCGGUUCAAAAACGUCGAGGGAAGUAGUCAUUCACGGGUCGUAGGGGAAGUAGUUGUUCACGUUCGUCUCGGAGAGGUACUUGACGAAUCCAACAUCUUCGGGGCGACGAUAGUGGUUCACGGACGUCGUGGGAAGUAGUGGAAGUAGUUGUACACGGCGACGGUAGUUGUACACACGUUGUAGUCGAACUUGACGGUCUCGGUCCUGGCGAUCCAAAGGGCACUUGGCGGUUUUGAUCGAACCGUAGUGGUACUGGGCGAGAUACACAGCCACGGUAGUCUUCGGCCUUGAUUUUCCUGCACAUGACUCCACAGGUCCUGAGGGGACUCGGCGAUGGCCAUGGCAAAGAGGCGGCGAGGCGUUGGACGGACUAACAGGCAGAGGUGGUCGUAGUAGUACUAGCUCAUGGGGAUGGCGGUCUUGGGCGGCAACAACCUGCCGUGUUGGUGCAGCAGCGGCUGCUGGAGAGGCCAUGGCUACAAGGGUGGCGAGCUCGAGCAAAUCCGACGAGGACGUCCGGGAUGGCUGGGGUUGCGAGGGAGCAGAGGUCGGCCGGUCGUGGCAGACAGCAGAGAACACCUCAGCCACGGGGAAGGUGGACGGCGGGCUUCGGAGCAAGGGGAGACAGAUGCGGGCGAGCGGAGCACGGCGGGGACGCGGGGAUGCUGAUGGCCUGCGACAGAUAGACUUUUUUAGUUCGCACUCGUGUUCGUGUUGGAGACGGACUGCUCCUUCGUGUGCGAGAUGGACGACGACGUGUUUUUUUCCUCUUCCCGGUUGAUGAUGCCCAUAUGGAGUGCGGGUUGAUUUCAUAAAAGAUGAGGGACUUGUUUGCAAAAAUGCUGCAACGGUGAACCCAGAGACCCAAUCCGUGCUUUAUUAUUAGGGAGAGAUUAGGGAAAGAUAUAUAUAUAUAUAUAUAUAUAUAUAUAUAUAUAUAUAUAUAUAUAUAUUUCUAUCAUAGCUUACUAUGGAAAUAGCUAUCAGAACCGUCGGACUCUACCUCAAGAUUCGAACCGAAGUGUGGUCCGGUUCCUUUUCUUGUUCUUUUGUUGAUUUUUGGAUGGUGUAACCCACAAACAAAAACUCAAACGACAUCCACCCUGCUAGCCCAGGCUGCCGACCUGGAACCUAUUCCCUGAUCUAAGAAGCAGAAGAAGAACUCACGCAAGCAAGCAUCGCUCACGCGUCAUGAUCAUCGCAAAACCUAUACCUGCAACUGUUGUUGUAGUAAUCUGUGAGCCACGAGGACUCAGCAAUCCCAUUGCCAUGGGUAUCAAGACUAGCAAAGCUUAAAGGGAAAGGAAGGGGUAAAGUGGUGAGGCUGCCGCAACGACUAAGCAUAUAUGGUGGCUAACAUACGCAAAUAAGAGCGAGAAGAGAGCAAGCAGAACGGUCGUGAAGCUAGCAAUGAUCAAGAAGUGAUCCUGAACUCCUACUUACGUCAAACAUAACCCAGAAACCGUGUUCACUUCCCGGACUCCGCCGAGAAGAGACCAUCACGGCUACACACGCGGUUGAUGCGUUUUAAUUCGGAUCUGGUGUCAAGUUAUCUACAACCGGACAUUAACAAAUUCCCAUCUGCAUAUAACCGCAGGCACGGCUUUCGAAAGAUUAUACCCUGCAGGGGUGUCCCAACUUAGCGCAUGACAAGCUCUCGCGAUCAACGAAGGAAUAGACCUUCUCCCAGGAAGACCCGAUCAGACUCGGAAUCCCGGUUUCUAAGACAUUUCGACAAUGGUAAAACAAGACCAGCAAGACCGCCAGAUGCGCGGACAAUCCCGAUAGGAGCUGCACAUAUCUCGUUCUCAGGGCAACACCGGAUGAGCAAUCCGUACAACUAAAAGCAGACCUCAAAUUUCCCUGAGGGGGUGCUGUAAAGGGCUCUAGUGCGGACCAACACUUAGACAAGCACUGGCCUGGGGGGGCUAAAAUAAAGAUGACCCUCGGGAUGCGCCACUCCCAAGGGAAAAAGGGGUAGGUGAGGCAAAUGGUAAAACCAAGGUUGGGCCUUGCUGGAGGAGUUUUAUUCAAAGCGAACUGUCAAGGGGGUCCCAUAAAUCACCCGACCGCGUAAGGAACGCAAAAUCCAGGAACAUAACACCGGUAUGACGGAAACUAGGGCGGCAAGAUUGGAAUAAAACACCAGGCAAAAGGCCGAGUCUUCCACCCUUUACCAAGUAUAUAGAUGCAUUAAUAAUAUAAGAGAUAUUGUGAUAUCCCAACCAAAAUCCUGUCCACCAUGGAGAAAUCUUCAACUUCACCUGCAACUAGCAACGCUAUAAGAGGGGCUGAGCAAAAGCGGUAACAUAGCCAAACAACGGUUUGCAUAGGAAAGGUGCCAAAGGUUAGAGGUUCAUGGCAAUAAGGGAUGGCUGGAUAAAUAGGUGAUAGGUAACGCAGCAUAGCGAUAGAACGAAACAACUAGCAUAGCAAUGAUAGUAGUGAGAUCCAGGGUAGCAGUCAUCUUGCCUGAAAUCCCGCUAGGAAGAAGAAACGAGUCCAUGAAGAAGACGAACGGAUGAAGCCAAACCAAGCGUAGACGAACGAAUCCUCACGAUCGCAACGAAACAGGAACUAUCGAAAAGAAGCACACAACAUAGUAAACACACCACACAUGAACAUGACAUGAUGCACAACAAACAUGAUGCAUGACAAAGCUACAUGAAGCUACUCAUGGCAAGAGAUGAUGCAAACAAGAACAACACAACAAGGCAAGUUUAAAUGAGGCCGGGAACAACAUAUAACAAUUCCGGUAAGUCCUCAUAUGCAUAUUUCGAAAUUGGUCCAGAUCUGAAUAAACCUUAUGUUCAAGUUGUUAAACAGCAAGUUAAGAUGCAACAAGAUGAUCUACACGAGAUUCUAGUCAAGUUACUUAUAAAGUUCAUUUAGUUCGGAGCUACGGCCUAAGAGAUAUGAGGAAAACAAGUUAAACAUGGCAUUGAUGCAAAAUGCACCCAAACAUCAAGCAAACACACCAAAACAAGGAUGCAACAUGAUAAUAUGAAACUACAUGCAAAAUCAAGCAAGUUUCAUAUAGAGCACACUCAAAACGGAGCAACGGUUCAACACACUCACACUAAACAAGUCAUAGCAACAAUCUGUCCAAAACAGCAACUAGGCAUAUUGCAAGCAUCAAAACAACAUGCUACGGGACCUCAACAAGAAAACAAAAGGCAUGGGCAUGAUGUACAGGUAAAUCAUUACAAAACAUGAACACUGAGCUAUCUCCAGAAAUCACUAGAAAAUGCUCAAACACACAUGGUAAGAUUGCAAGUUAUAACAAUUUCAGACUUUGCAGAAAAUAACAUCACGAUGCAAUGUUUAGAGCUAUCACACAAUAUGUUACAGGAACUUAUCAUGGCAAACAAAGGCAUGGCAUGAAUCUACUAAUUGCAUAGAUCAAAAGUCCCUUAGUGACCUUAAGCCAAAAAGGACCAGAAAAUAUGAUGGCACCCACGUAAAUAUAGCAAGUUAUUAUACAGAUUCAAACAUGGCAGAAACAGAAUUAUGAAGGCGUGUAGAUGAGCUUGUGCAACUCACUACAGAUCAUUACAUGGCAUUGCAAGGCACCCAACAGUAAGAAGGCAUGUUUGUGAAGCUAAGCAUGGCAAUAGCAAGGUCAUAGGGUUCAUGGAACACUAGCAAAACACAUGGAAACAAGUGAACUUAAUGUUAACAGGCUGACAGCAACAUUAUGAAGCAACUUUGGAGCAAGCUAUGAACAAGCUACAGCAAGCUAUAAAUGCAAACAGGGCAUGGAUGGAUAUAGCAUGACAUGUAGAACAAAACACAUUUAUAGAACAUCUCCAGAUUAUGCAUAGAAUGAUUUGUAGAAGCAUGUUUAUAUAGCAUCACGAAAUAAUAGAUUCAGCCUAGCAAAACAACAUCAUGUACCCUACUUAACAAGCUCGAUUCACUCACCACAAGUCAUUGCAUGACAAGAUAAGCAUAGCAUCAUCAAGAAGACAUGUUUGUGAAGCAAACCAAGUCAAGAACAAGUCCAUAGCAUGCAAGGAUCAACUACACAACCUUGGCUAAAUUGAAUGACAAGUAAACAAUCUGCCAGGAAACAUUUUGAAGCAAAAGUAGAGCACUCAAAUGACAUGCUAGACUACUCCAUAAUUGCAACCAAGGGCAUGAAUGGAUAGACAAUAACCAUAUGUUCAAAACAUCCUUACUGAAGUAUCUCAAAAUAUGCAUGGAUCUCUCUGUAGCAUCAAGUAUAUAUGGCAUCAAAAUAACAGCAGAACAGGGAGUAAAAUCAGUAACAUCACGAUGCCUAGUUUGCAUGCUUGUGCUAGUCACCACAUUGAUCACAAAAAUACAUGGUAAGCACCUCUGUAAAGAAGACAUGGCAUAGAUCAAAACACAUGUAGACAUCAACCUCAUAGGAUGCACACAUCAAUCAUGGCAAAAAUGACAAAAGAGCUCGUUUUGGUAACAGACAGCAGAAAACAUUAUGAAGCACUCUUACAACGAUGAUUCAGGCAUCAAGAUGACCUCAAAUGAAUAUAAUGCAAUGGAAUGAAAUGAUGUACUCGUCGAGGCGAACAAUUUGACAUAUUACACGCACGAAACGGAGCUACAGAUGCAGAGAUACAGCAGGUCAAACAUGGCAUGAAAAUUACACAGAUUCAGGGACUUAGGCAAAAUUAUAACUCGCGAAAAGUCAACCCGGGACGAGGACGUUCUGGGAUGGAGGGAUCCAGGACGGGGGCGCCGUUUGGUUGGUGGGCCUGGUGGAUCUCAUCCACUCGUGGCGGAUCUGGCCGGAGGAGAGCUCCGGCGAGCUCUCCGGCGAGGCACGGUCGACGAGGGGCGAGGUGGGACGGCGGGGAUCCGCGACGGAGGCGCGCAGGGGCUCGGGAUCCGGAGGGGCGAGGUCGGCGGGGGAGCUCCNNNNNNNNNNNNNNNNNNNNNNNNNNNNNNNNNNNNNNNNNNNNNNNNNNNNNNNNNNNNNNNNNNNNNNNNNNNNNNNNNNNNNNNNNNNNNNNNNNNNNNNNNNNNNNNNNNNNNNNNNNNNNNNNNNNNNNNNNNNNNNNNNNNNNNNNNNNNNNNNNNNNNNNNNNNNNNNNNNNNNNNNNNNNNNNNNNNNNNNNNNNNNNNNNNNNNNNNNNNNNNNNNNNNNNNNNNNNNNNNNNNNNNNNNNNNNNNNNNNNNNNNNNNNNNNNNNNNNNNNNNNNNNNNNNNNNNNNNNNNNNNNNNNNNNNNNNNNNNNNNNNNNNNNNNNNNNNNNNNNNNNNNNNNNNNNNNNNNNCGCGGUGGCUGGCGGCGGAGAGGCCACGUGGCGCCUCCUAAUUGGCUGCAAGCGGCGGCGGACGCGUCCGGCGACGAGAUGGACAUGUCCGGCGCGGCGCGGAGGGGAAAAACUAGGGUUAGGGUGGAUUUGAUCCGCGAAUUUCGGGGGGAGGGGCUUAUAUAGUUUCUGGGAGCUAGGAGAGUCCAAAUGAGGAGCGGUUGAAAUAAUUUACAAAAGACUGAAGAGGUUCCGCACGAAUGAGAUAGAUGGUCGAGAGAGAGUCAGACUCCGGGAAGAAAAGGGUGGGAGGGCAGGAAAACAAAGGCAACUUGGAAGGGGGAACGACGAAUAUCUUGAAGAGAAAACUCCGGUUGAAAUCAUUGCGGAAAGAAAGCAAAGACUUCGCACGAGUAGGAUGGAUACUCGAUUACGGACUCCGGCUUCGAGAAGAAAAGGGGAGGGCGGGUGGGAAAAGAAAACAACUGAGGAUUGAACUUGCAAAGAUGAAGAGGGUCAAGUCAACUUGACGAGAAAUGCACCGGAUGAAAAGAGCUGAGGAACAACGAUCGAAAAACCAACUGCGUGAUCCUAAAGAAAAAUUUGAAGGGGAAGAGGAGUAAUUCAAAUCACCUACGUCAAGAUUCCUCACCAGAGCGACGAAGGGGCUGAGGAGUAAAAAGAAUUCCUACUCUCCGAUAUAACUAGACUCCGAAAACAGUUUUAUUCUAGACUCAACAUCGGCCAAACUACACGAUCAAUCAAGGGGGCUCCUAGGGUCGGUCGAGGCUCUGAUACCAACUUGUCACGCCCAAUAUGCGACCCUAUCCAAAAGGAACUCGAAGAUCCCACCAAGAAUAGGCCCGCAUAUUGAAACGCUUUUGCAAGGUGGAUAUCAUUACAUCAACAUUACAUAAUAUAUGGGGAAACAGACAUAAGGCAUACAAUGCACACGAAUACAACAUCACAAUACAUCAAAGCAUCAUCCAACUACGGAUGAAAUACAAACAGAAACUCAAACGACAUCCACUCUGCUAGCCCAGGCUGCCGACCUGGAACCUAUCCCUGAUCAAAGAAGAAGCAGAAGAAGAACUCCAAAACAAGCAACAUCGCUCUCGCAUCAUGAUCAUCGCACCACCUGUACCUGCAACUGUUGUUGUAGUAAUCUGUGAGCCACGAGGAAUCUGCAAUCCCAUUACCAUGGGUAUCAAGACUAGCAAAGCUUAAAGGGAAAGGAAGGGGUAAAGUGGUGAGGCUGCAGCAGCGGCUAAGCAUGAUAUGGUGGCUAACAUACGCAAAUAAGAGCGAGAAGAGAGCAAGCAGAACGGUCGUGAAACUAGCAAUGAUCAAGAAGUGAUCCUGAACUCCCACUUACGUCAAACAUAACCCAGAAACCGUGUUCACUUUCCGGACUCCGCCGAGAAGAGACCAUCACGGCUACACACGCGGUUGAUGCGUUUUAAUUCGGAUCUGGUGUCAAGUUAUCUACAACCGGACAUUAACAAAUUCCCAUCUGCCUAUAACUGCAGGCACGGCUUUCGAAAGAUUAUACCCUGCAGGGGUGUCCCAACUUAGCCCAUGACAAGCUCUCGCGAUCAAAGAAGGAAUAGACCUUCUCCCAGGAAGACCCGAUCAGACUCGGAAUCCCGGUUUACAAGACAUUUCAACGAUGGUAAAACAAGACCAGCAAGACCGCCCGAUGCGCCGACAAUCCCGAUAGGAGCUGCACAUAUCUCGUUCUCAGGGCACACCGGAUUGUCCAAACUUCCGGUAGGCCAGCCCAGAGUUGCCCCUGGUGGCCACCGGCGGUUGACAGGUUGGACCAACACUCACGACGAGCACUGGCCCGGAGGGGAUAAAAUAAAGAUGACCCUCGAGAGCGCGACUCCCAUGGGAAAAAGGGCUAUGUGAGGCAAAUGGUAAAACCAAGGUUGGGCCUUGCUGGAGGAGUUUUAUUCAAAGCAAACUGUCAAGGGGGUCCCAUAAAUCACCCGACCUCCCCGGCGAUCCUCGAAAUCCGUGCACGAGUUGACUUUCUCACCCUCGAGGUUGAAUUUUCUGCUAAGUCCCUAUAUUUUGUUAUUUUCAUGCCAUGUUCGUCAUGCUGUAUCUCUGCAUCCGUAGCUCCGUUUCAUGCGUGUAAUAUGUCAAAUUGUUCGUCUCAACGAGUACAUCAUUUCAUUCCAUUGAAUCAUGUUCAUUUGAGGUCAUCUUGAUGCCUGAAUCAUUGUUGUAAGAGUGCUUCAUGAUGUUUUCUGCUGUCUGUUAUCAGAACGAGCUCUUUUGUCAUUUUUGCCAUGAUUGAUGUGUGCAUCUUAUGAGGUUGAUGUCUACAUGUGUUUUGAACUAUGCCAUGUGUUCUUUAUAGAGGUGAUUACCAUGUAUUUUUGUGAUCAAUGUGGUGACUAGCACAAGCAUGCAAACUAGGCAUCGUGAUGUUACUGAUUUUAGUCCCUGUUCUGCUGUUAUUUUGAUGCCAUGUAAACUUGAUGCUACAGAAAGAUCCAUGCAUAUUUUGAGACACUUCAGUAAGGGUGUUUUGAACAUGUGGUUAUUGUCUAUCCAUUCAUGCCCUUGGUUGCAAUUAUGGAGUAGCCUAGAAUGUCAUUUUCGUGCUCUACUUUUGCUUCAAAAUGUUUCCUGGCAGAUUGUUUACAUGUUAUUCAAUUUGGCCAAGGUUGCUAUAGUUGAUCCUUGCAUGCUAUGGACUUGUUCUUGACUUGGUUUGUUUCACAAACAUGUAUUCUUGAUGAUGAUAUGCUUAUCCUAUCAUGCAAUGACUUGUGGUGAGUGAAUCGAGCUUGUUAAGUAGGGUACUUGAUGUUGUUGUUUUGCUAGGCUGAAUCUAUUAUUUCGUGAUGCUAUAUAAACCUACUGCUACUAUGGUCAGUAAAGGACUUUUGAUCUAUGAAAUUAGUAGAUUCAUGCCAUGCCUUUGUUUGCCAUGAUAAGUUCCUGUAACAUGUUGUUUGAUAGCUCUAAACAUUGCAUCGUGAUGUUAUUUUCUGCAAAGUCUGAAAUUGUUAUAACUUGCAAUCUUACCAUGUGUGUUUGAGCAUGUUCUAAUGAUUUCUGCAGAUAGCUCAGUGUUCAUGUUUUGUUGUGCUUUACCUGUACAUCAUGCUCAUGCAUUUUAUUUUCAUAUUGUGGUGCUGUAGCAUAUUGUUUUGAUGCUUGCAAUAUACCUAGUUGCUGUUUUGGACAGAUUGUUGCUUUCACUUGUAUAUGGUGUGUGUGCUGAACCGUUGCUCCGUUUUGAGUGUGCUCUAUAUGAAACUUGCUUGUUUUUGCAUGUAGUUUCAUAUUAUCAUGUUGCAUCCAUGUUUUGAGGUGUUUGCUUGAUGUUUGAGUGCAUUUUACAUCAAUGCCAUGUUUAACUUGUUUUGCUCAUAUCUUCUAGGCCGUACCUCCGAACUAAAUGAACUUUAUAUGUAACUUGACUAGAAUCUCGUGUAGAUCAUCUUUGUGCAUCUUAACUUGCUGUUUAACAACUUGAACAUAAGGUUUAUUCUGAUCUGGACCAACUUCGAAAUAUGCAUAUGAGGACUUAUCAGAAUUGUUAUAUGUUGUUCCCGGCCUCAUUUAAACUUGCCUUGAUGUGUUGUUCUUGUUUGCAUCAUCUCUGGCCAUGAGUAGCCUCAUCUAGAUUUGUCAUGCAUCAUGCUUGUUGUGCAUCAUGUCAUGUUCAUGUGUGGUGUGUUUACUAUGUUGUGUGCUUCUUUUCGAUAGUUCCCGUUUUGUUGCGAUCGUGAGGAUUCGUUCGUCUAUGCUUGGUUCUUCUUCGUGGCUUCAUCUUCUUCAUGGACUCGUUCUUCUUCCUUGCGGAAUUUCAGGAAAGAUGACCGCUACCCUGGAUCUCACUACUAUCAUUGCUAUGCUAGUUGCUUCGUUCUAUCGCUAUGCUGCGUUACUUAUCUCUGCUCAUCAAGCCUCCCAUAUUGCCAUGAACCUCUAACCUUUGACACCUUUCCUAUGCAAACCGUUGUUUGGCUAUGUUACCGCUUUUGCUCAGCCUCUCUUAUAGCGUUGCUAGUUGCAGAUGAAGUUGAAGAUUUCUCCAUGGUGGACAGUGUUUUUGUUGGGAUAUCACAAUAUCUCUUAUAUUAUUAAUGCAUCUAUAUAGUUGGUAAAGGGUGGAAGACUCGGCCUUAUGCCUGGUGUUUUGUUCCACUCUUGCCGUCCUAGUUUCCGUCAUACCGGUGUUAUGUUUCCGGAUUUUGCGUUCCUUACGCGGUUGGGUGAUUUAUGAGACCCCCUUGAUAGUUCGCUUUGAAUAAAACUCCUCCAGCAAGGCCCAACCUUGGUUUUACCAUUUGCCUCAUAUUUCUAUCAUAGCUUACUAUGGAAAUAGCUAUCAGAACCGUCGGACUCUGCCUCAAGAUUCGAACCGAAGUGUGGUCCGGUUCCUUUUCUUGUUCUUUUGUUGAUUUUUGGAUGGUGUAACCCGGCCCACGUGCUGACAACUUUACAGAUGGAGUAAAGACAGGGCCUGCCCCAUGUGGUUCUGACUCGUUCUUGGACCAACUCGUCGGUCACGGACGUGUGCAAUGGAGGUUCCACGCCGUCCAUUGAACUUUUUUUAGCAUCAGUAGGCGCCUCGUCGUCGAUGGGAACGUCUUCUCCCACUGGAAGCGCAUCGCCGGAAAUUCUGAAAUAAAUCCAGAAAUAAUGCGAGCACCAGGAUUUGAACCCUGAUGGAUUAGGGAUAUCACUGUCCACCUAACACACUCAACCACAGGUUGAUUCGCUCACUGUCCAUUGAACUUGCAUACCGGUUCCUGCUGCUCGUGAGCCUCGUUACGGCCAGUUCCUUCGUCGCAUGACACCUUUUUUUUCCAGUUGCCACGUCGCGUUCCUUUUCCAUCUCUUUGGCGAAUUUUGUGUUGAUAAAAGCCUGUGUUGAGUCAGUACAGCACAGGUUCGGAGGUUCCGCGCCCUCAUAAAAUGAACGUGUAGGUUCUGUCGUAUAUAAUACUACCAUAGUACAUGAUUUUCCCUACAUAUACGUAGCCGGCGUGCAGGAGUGUCAGAACCUUCAAUGCAUGCACUGUAUCAGUGUCAUACACAUGCAAUAGGACAAAUUUUUUAAGCACAAAAGGAUGGAUAGUUUAAUGCAACCCCUCAUAUGGACAUACAGGCAGCUUAAUUCGUGCCGUGCUCCUACAGGUAAAUAUACUACCUGUAAUCGCAAUUGAAUAUGAAAAAAAAACAGUCGAUUCAACGUUUCAUGAAGACUCGUUUGGCACCACUCUUGGAUUUGAUGAUACUUCGUGGCAACCAACUCCCUCCUGUCGGUUCUUUUAUGAAGACUCGUUCGAUACCGCCCUUGAAUUUGACGGUUCUUCGGGGUGACCAACUCCCUCCUAUCGGUUCUUUUGUGAAGACUCGUUCGGCAUCAUCCUUGAAUUUGACAUUUCUUCGGGGCGACCAACUCGCUCCUAUCGGUUCUUUCGUGAGACUCGUUCGGCACCACCCUUGGGUUUGACGGUUCUUCGUGGCGACCAACUCCCUCUUAACUGUUCUUUUUUGAAGACUUGUUCGGCACCACCAUUGGGUUUGGCGGUUCUUUGUGGCGACCAACUCCCUCUUAUCGGUUCUUUUGUGAUGACUCGUUCGGUACUACCCUCUGAUUUGACGGUUCUCCAUGGUGACCAACUCUCUCCCAUCGGUUCUUUGGUGAAGACUCGUUCGGCACCACCCUUUGAUUUGACGGUUCUUCAUGAUGAAUAACUUCCUCCUACCAGUUCUUGAUGGCGAUGUCGGCUCUUCACAAAUUCGAUUCCAGUUGCAAGUAUAGUUUUGACGGCUCUACGGAGGUGGAAUCCGGUUCUUUGCAAAUUGUAUUCUGGUUCCAAGUAUAAUUUUGAUGGUACUGUGGAGGUGAGACAUCGGCCCUAGCGUAUUACCUUCUCACAAAAAAAGAACUUGUAUUACCUAGCGUAGUGGACACAAGCUAGUACAUACAGUUGUUUUAUACCUGAUGAAUAAUUAACUUAGCCAACACUAAUCAACUGUCUUGACAAGAUUACCUAACACAGUAGUCCCCCGUACAAGCCACGGGUCACAGCUAGGGAAGCAGGGAACGGAGACAGUGACCUCGAGGUACGGCAGUGCAUAUAUCGAAGCAUUGGCGCAUGCACAAGUGCACGCAUCUGCAGCAGUAGGGACAUACUCAUAUUAUAAUUUUCUGUGAAGCUCUAGCACCUAGUGCCCCAGCUCUGCACCAAGUCCUGAGGCCUGGAGUGUCAAUAGCUGCUUAGCCAAAAGAUCUNNNNNNNNNNNNNNNNNNNNNNNNNNNNNNNNNNNNNNNNNNNNNNNNNNNNNNNNNNNNNNNNNNNNNNNNNNNNNNNNNNNNNNNNNNNNNNNNNNNNNNNNNNNNNNNNNNNNNNNNNNNNNNNNNNNNNNNNNNNNNNNNNNNNNNNNNNNNNNNNNNNNNNNNNNNNNNNNNNNNNNNNNNNNNNNNNNNNNNNNNNNNNNNNNNNNNNNNNNNNNNNNNNNNNNNNNNNNNNNNNNNNNNNNNNNNNNNNNNNNNNNNNNNNNNNNNNNNNNNNNNNNNNNNNNNNNNNNNNNNNNNNNNNNNNNNNNNNNNNNNNNNNNNNNNNNNNNNNNNNNNNNNNNNNNNNNNNNNNNNNNNNNNNNNNNNNNNNNNNNNNNNNNNNNNNNNNNNNNNNNNNNNNNNNNNNNNNNNNNNNNNNNNNNNNNNNNNNNNNNNNNNNNNNNNNNNNNNNNNNNNNNNNNNNNNNNNNNNNNNNNNNNNNNNNNNNNNNNNNNNNNNNNNNNNNNNNNNNNNNNNNNNNNNNNNNNNNNNNNNNNNNNNNNNNNNNNNNNNNNNNNNNNNNNNNNNNNNNNNNNNNNNNNNNNNNNNNNNNNNNNNNNNNNNNNNNNNNNNNNNNNNNNNNNNNNNNNNNNNNNNNNNNNNNNNNNNNNNNNNNNNNNNNNNNNNNNNNNNNNNNNNNNNNNNNNNNNNNNNNNNNNNNNNNNNNNNNNNNNNNNNNNNNNNNNNNNNNNNNNNNNNNNNNNNNNNNNNNNNNNNNNNNNNNNNNNNNNNNNNNNNNNNNNNNNNNNNNNNNNNNNNNNNNNNNNNNNNNNNNNNNNNNNNNNNNNNNNNNNNNNNNNNNNNNNNNNNNNNNNNNNNNNNNNNNNNNNNNNNNNNNNNNNNNNNNNNNNNNNNNNNNNNNNNNNNNNNNNNNNNNNNNNNNNNNNNNNNNNNNNNNNUGGAGAUGGAGUUAUGGUGGAGGGGGCAUUAAUGGGGAGAGGACGAGAGGUAGGAGAAAGAGAGAUGUGAGAGAGGCCAUUUAUGGAGAAGAGUUAUGGUGGAGGGGGACAUUAAUGAGGAGAGAAGAGAGGUAGUAGGAAGAGAGAAGAAGAGCAACAAUGGUGGAGAGUGGAGAGGGGAAAGGAGGGGGAGAGAGGGCAAAGUGGGGGAGAGGAGGGGGAGGGGGUGAAAAGGUGGCACCAGCCGCAACUAGCAGUAGCGCUGCUUACCAAAACGCGAUGCUGCUACCGUACUUAGUAGCAGUGCUUUCCUGGAGAAGCGCUACUACUAAGUGGGGCCCAUUAGCAGUAGCGGCGCAGUAAAAUAAAGCGCUACUACUAAACUGUUAGUAGUAGUGUUGGAUUCUGCACAGCGCUGGUACUACAUCUAUCGUCGGUGGCCUCGUCUGGUCCCACGUACUAGUACCGUGUUUUUGGUUUCCAGCGCUACUGCUAUAGACAGAAUAGUAGCACUUUCCUGGAUCGGCGCUACUGCUAACUAGUAGCAGCGUUGACUAUUUUCCAGCGCUACUGCUAACUAGUAGCUGCUAACUUGUAUAAGCAUUUCCCUAGUAGUGUUAAUUUUAUUGACAGAUUGCACUUCUAGUUUCUACAGCUAGUGCUAACCGAUGAUUGAAAAAUAUAUCUACCUUAACUCUAGACAACUACAUCACAUUGUCACUGCCUAGCAGUGCUGAACCCUAGCGAUACAAAUAAAAAAAUUACAAUGGCAGUGACCUACAACAAAAGAGGGAGGGAUGAUAUGCUCACCUGGGUUGGAGCCGAGGGUUGCCUACAGUCUACUCUGUCGCCGUCAUCGUCACCUGUGGUAGAUGAGAGUGGGAGGCUCAGAUGCAAAACACACCUCUAAAUUAAAAAAAAUUCCAAAUGGACUAGAUGAGAGUGGGAGGCUCAGAUGUGUACCUCAAGACCGGAGAACGACGACAAUCGUCGGAAUCGGCCAAAAUCAAAGUGGCACGACCAGCGGCGAGAGAGGGAGAGAAAAGGGAACGAAACAGAGCAGCGGGUCACAGAGUGAGAGUGGGUUGAGGGGGUCGUUGCCCCCAUUGGUUUUGACCCCCACGGCAUUCUAAUACUAUUUGUGCUUGCCCAAUAAGAAAAAAGAUCACCACCUAGAAAUUGUCAUCUCAAAACUAUAUAUUUCAAGUCUUAAACUAAAAAGGAAAAAAAGUAAAUUUAACAAAAGUAAACUAUAAUAUACUAUUAAAAAGAUCACAGAAUAAAAAACUAAAAAAAUUUGGAAGUGUCAAAAUACAUAUUUGAAGGCUCAAAACUAUAUAUUUCAAGUCUUAAACUAAAAAGGAAAAAAANNNNNNNNNNAAAAAAAUAGUAAUGUAAGAAUGUUGGCAUUGACAGAAUAACAAUAGCGGCGUCGGUUAUAACAGCACGCCACAACUAAAUAUAAUAGUGUUGGCGUUCCAUGCUAUUCCACGACAGCGAUAUAUUACGCCUGGUACAAAUUGUUGAUCUCAUAUAUUUCUCACACUGCCUUGUUUUCGAACGCCACUACUAUGCCCCUACUAAUAUCGUACCAAAUCAGCCAACGCCAUCACUAUUUGAAAAAAAAUAGUGGUGGCGUUGGUUGUAAAUGGAGCGCCACCAACGAAAGUUGUGGCUAACCCUUUUUCCACUAGUGAAGAUUGAGGGAGGUUGUUAGAUAAUGUUUAUACGUAGCUUUCGUGUAGACACUUUAUAAUGAGAUAGCCACACCCGUAUUGGGUGUCGUUCAGUUUCCCACGAACAUAACGUUUUACAAUCCUGAGAGGCCAUCCAAGGGAGUCUGUUGUAGGCUGAUGCCGUUUUUACCCUCUCUAACUAAACCUAAAGUGGCGAAGUUACUAGCAUGUCGCCAUGUCCUUGCACUAGAGAAGGAAGUUGGGGUUUAGACGAUCGUCAUGGAGAUGGACUGAAAGAUGGUUGUGAGCAAGCUCAACUCUGAAGGGAAGGACGGAGGGAAUAGUAAGUGUAUAUUUGUUUCUAAAUAUGAAAAUAUUACUAUUAAAUACUAAUAUACCAAAGAUAUAAGAAUAUUAAAUACUAGUAUACCAAAGAUAUACCUAAAUAUAAGAAUAUUUAAUAGUAGUAUACCGAAGAUAUUCUACAGUUAAAUUCUAAUAACUCUGUUCCAAAAUAUAAGAAUAUUACUAUAAAAUACUAUUAGCUGUUUUCAAAUAAUUAGUAAUAGAGAUAAUAUUCUUUUGUCGUGAUAUAUCUUUAUUCCUCAUUAAAUAUAAGAAUAUUACUAGUAUUAAAUACUAGAAUCCCAAAGAUAUAUCUAAUAGUAUACCAAAGAUAUACAACAAUUAAAUAAUAUUACAUAUGUUCCAAAAUAUAAGAAUGUUACUACUACCUCCGUCUGGAAAUAGUUGUCAUCAAAAUGAAUAAAGGAGGCUGUAUCUAGAUGUAUUUUAGUUCUAGAUACAUCCCUUUCUAUUUGUUUUGAUCACAAGUAUUUUCGGAUGGAGGGAGUAUUAAAUACUGUCACAACUAUUCUUAUAUUUAGUAACAGAGAUAAUAGUAUUUAAUAGUAGUAUAUCAUUUUUCCUAAAUACUCCCUCCGUNNNNNNNNNNAUAUAAGAAUAUUUAAUAGUAGUAUACCGAAGAUAUUCUACAGUUAAAUUCUAAUAACUCUGUUCCAAAAUAUAAGAAUAUUACUAUAAAAUACUAUUAGCUGUUUUCAAAUAAUUAGUAAUAGAGAUAAUAUUCUUUUGUAGUGAUAUAUCUUUAUUCCUCAUUAAAUAUAAGAAUAUUACUAGUAUUAAAUACUAGAAUCCCAAAGAUAUAUCUAAUAGUAUACCAAAGAUAUACAACAAUUAAAUAAUAUUACAUAUGUUCCAAAAUAUAAGAAUGUUACUACUACCUCCGUCUGGAAAUAGUUGUCAUCAAAAUGAAUAAAGGAGGCAGUAUCUAGAUGUAUUUUAGUUCUAGAUACAUCCCUUUCUAUUUGUUUUGAUCACAAGUAUUUUCGGAUGGAGGGAGUAUUAAAUACUGUCACAACUAUUCUUAUAUUUAGUAACAGAGAUAAUAGUAUUUAAUAGUAGUAUAUCAUUUUUCCUAAAUACUCCCUCCGUCCCAAAAUUCUUGUCUUAUAUUUGUCUAGAUACGGAUGUAUCUGACACUAAAAUGUAACUAGAUACAUCCGUAUUUAGACAAAUCAAAGACAAAAAUUUUGGGAUGGUGGGACUAUAAGAAUAUUACUAUUAAAUACUAGUAUACAAAUAUAUAUUUAAUAGUAUACCAAAAUAUAAGAAUAUUUAAUAGAAAUAUACCAAAGAUAUGCUACUAUUAAUUGCUGGUAUUAAAUAAAUAAAUCUGUAGAUUAACACGCGGUCCCCACCUUGGCCUGUGCCUUCCGUUUCAGUUCAUAAAAGGCAACACAUGCUUCUCCUCCUCGCUCACAUUCUUCUCAUCCCGCUCUCCUCAACCAACUCCGUGCGUCUGCUCGACCGAUCCACCGCGAUGUCUAGCUCCGACGUCAGUGCCAUGCCCGCAGCCAACCACGAGGGGCACAGCCUGGCGGGCCCCGCCCCGCCCCCUGCGCCGGUGGUUCACAAGCGCAAGCCCGGGAGACCCCAGGAGAAAAGCCCGCCCCCAGCGGCCACCAGAGAGGAGCUGGAAUCCAGGGAGUCCCGGGAAGGACCCUUGAAGGUGCUUGCGCUCCCGGCGCCAGGGGCCCGGCGUGCUUAUGUUGUCUCAGAUGACAAGAUGGUGAGCCGCGCUCGCGCCCCCACACGGCGUGCAAGCGCGGUAUCCAACAACAAGAUGGUGAGCCGCGCUCGCUCCCCCCCCCCCUCUGCUACUAGUGAUUUGAAGUUAACCGGUGCCUAAUGAGCUGGAGUUAUUGACAAUCUUUAAUCUAGUCAUGUGAAUUAGUGCUAGUGCUUAAUGAACUACCUGAUGUGUAUGUGCAAGAAUUACGUGCUGGGUAUAUGUCCUUGGACUUUCUAAUCGCUGCGAUCUCAUCUGGCAGAUGGACAGGAACGAGAUAACGCCGGUGGUUCGCAGGCGCAAGCCCGGGAGACCCCAGGAGAAAAGCCCGCCCCCAGCGGCCAUCAGAGAGGAGCUGGAAUCCCGGGAGUCCCGGGAAGGCCCCUUGAAGGUGCUUGCACUCCCGGCGCCAGGGGCCCCGCGUACUCACGCUGUCUCCGGCGACAAGAUGAUGAGACGCGCUCGCGCCCCCACCCGGCAUGCAAACAUUGUCUCCGACGACAAGAUGGUGAGCCGCGCUCGCGCCCCCACCCUGCAUGCAAACCAUGUCUCCGAUGACAAGAUGGUGAGCCGCACUCGCUUCCCCCUCUCCUACUAGUGAUUUGAAGUUAACCGGUGCCUAAUGAUUUGAAGUUACUGACAAUCUUUAAUCUAGUCAUGUGAAUUGUACUGUAGCUUACUGAAUUACCUGAUGUGUAUGUGCAUGAACUACGUGGUGUGUAUAUGUCCUUGGAUUUUCUAAUCGCUGCGGUCUCGUCUGGCAGAUGGACAAGAACGAGAUGGCGCCAGUCCAGGGGGUGCCGCGCAUGCGAGGGAGCAUCGCGUCGUCAAGUGCGGUUGGUAAGUAUACUUUAUGCUGCUUUUUUUGUCAACAUCGUCUCCGUGCAGGCUACACUGGCAAACAAGCUGCUUAACUCUUGUGCAUGCUGGUUUUUCGUCAUCACUAGUAUACUGGUAUUGGACUGAAGCUUGUUAGCUCUGUCCAUGCUGGGUCUUUUUUUUUCAUUAUUAGUAUUGUUAUAUAUUAGCUGAAGCUGCACAUGUUUUCUUUCCAUUGACGUUGGUGCGGGCGGUGCUACGCGUCAGUCGGCCGAGGGAUGGACGCCUUACUCACCUGAUUUUAAUCAAGUCCCACCUAGGUGUAGUUUGUUUUGUCACUAGCUGUGUAUACAUAGGCGAGCUCCAGCACUAUGUUGCAGCGUGGAAAACAUAUGAACUGUAAUAAGAAACAUGCAAUGGCUAGAAAUAUCUCCACAUAUUUUUUCAGCACGUUUUAGGUGUCAACGAAAUUAGUCGGAUCGCCGGCCAUCGAAUUGACAUAUGGAGCAUUGGAUCACACUACACGGCAGCAGAGAGAAUGGAAACCGUGUUCCUCCAUAGCCUCCACAAUACAUGUGUAUCCACCACCCCUCCCACAUCGUCGCAACAGACAAUUACGUCGGCCCCUUGCAACACCUGGCUUUGGUACCCUAGAGAUCCCUGAUAUCGCUUGGAUAUCCUGCAAGUAUUAUUACAAUGCGCCAACAAGGCGUCGUCCUUGCAACAUUGUCUUACAGACAAUGUAGUUGAUGCCACCACCACCAUCACCCAUUUACACAUGGGCCGUGGCAUGUGGCACUGUUCGUGGGAUAAAACACACCCCGCGAGAAUAUGCGGUUGCACCACUAUGAUCUGUGCAUCUUAGGAAUUGUUGUGACUGCCCCUGCAAAACUAGCGAUGAUACGACCAUCGCCUUGCAACAUCGGCCAUAGUUGUAGCACAUAUGAGAAGACGGAUGCCGCACCUAACAACACAUUAUGUGUUUUUUGCACCAUAUGAAAGCACUGCCUUGCAACAUCGGCUAUCAGGGUGCUGCACCGACAAACACACUCACGACCUUGAGAUGUCGUAUGCCUUGGCCGAUGUAGCAUAGUGCUCCUCUUUCAGCAUAUAGCGAUGGCUUGUAGCAUUGAUGGUCGGAGAGUCGCAACAUCAUUGAGUGGCAGUGCUAGCCCAACUCAUUGUCAUAGAGAAAGGGGAAUAAAGGAUGGGUGUGCACGUGGUGGAAAUAAAGUGAAUGGAUAUGGUGAAGAGAGAGGAAGACUAACAGGGGCAUCUGGCGCUAGAGCGAUCUGACUGAUUUACCCCUGAAACCAGCCUGUUGAAUAUAAUUCAAUUUUCUUUUGAGAGACCUCAUAAAAACGUCGCAACAUGCGAGCAUGUCUAUACAAAAAAUUGUAGAUAUACAACGCAUACUCAUUAGCUUCAACAAAUAAGUGAAAAAACACAAUGUAUAUAGGCCUGAACCGAUGGAUCAUCAGCAUGCAUCUACCAGAUCUUCCUAGGUUACGCCCAACCGUGAGUCGUUCAAUUGGGUCACACAUCACUACCCAAUCAAACACCAACUUAGUUGUUCCUCUCGUCUCCUCUACCCACCCUUCGCAACAUACACCCAUGAUUCUCAGCAAUAGACCAACAUGGAGGCGACAAUGGUGUCCAUGAUAGGCUAGUCAAAAGCACACUGGUGAUCAACCUUACAACACUAAACAGAACAUUGCAACAUGAGGUAACCCCAACUUUGUAGCACUGGUGCACCAUUUUCAACCACCUUGUAGCAAUGAAAAGUUCACUGACCAAUAGCAUUGCUGCACCAAGUUACCGGCUUCCGGCACUGAACACACGGGCUUGCAGCACCGCGAUGAUCGAUGGUCGGCCUUUCAACAAUAUUAGUUAACAUUGCACACCUCGUCUCCAUUUUUAUGUACAUACACAUGAGUGAGAUUGGAACAUCAGUAACGUAACAACAUUACCAAACAUGAAGACAAUAAAUUUGUUUCUCCAAGCAUAGACGUUACUGAAUAAGCGUGCAACUGCACAUCCACCACAUGAGCCAUAAUUUUUUAGCUCUGUGACAACAGCUUAUAGUUGCAAAAGAGCUGACGAUGAUGGUUUAGAAUGUAUAUGAUCAAAAUAGAUUAAAUGGAGGGGAGGAUGGACUACCUAUGUUGAAUCGGACUAGCCGCAAGGUCACAAGUGCCUUGUCUAAAUAGCCAAAAAGACAAAAGGAGGCCUCCUGGAUUCUCCAUCCUGAAGCUAAGCAUAACUCCAACUCCAGACACGCUAGGGGGCUACUAAAGGUGCAAUACGCUAGGGAUGUCUUCUGGGUGGGAAGCCCGGUAGCAGGCUUGCCUUAGGGCCCAAGAGGCCAACUGGAGGAUCGGUGCAGUAGGGCAGCUCAGGAGCCUAGAUAAGGACUGUGGGAGCAUCUUGGCAGGCAAGCUAAGAUGGCAGUGGUAUGAGAUCUGAUGGAUUCCUUGUAAACCUAGCCCGCGCCACCUAUAUAAGGAGGGGCUCGGGGUUGUCAUUCACAUAUACUCUCAUAGACUAUACUCUCUAUAGCAUUAUACUUCAUCUCCACUCUAAACGCCUCGCACAAGGUGCUCCACCAUGAAUAAAAAUCAGAUACAGGAUGUUGGGCAUUACCUCUCACCGAGGGCCCGAACCUAGGUAAAAACCUUUGUGCGGACUACCUUGUCGUGUAUCCCUACAAGUUCACCACCCUACUAUGGGUACUCACGGUUUUCCAUACUAUCACAUAGUUAAGUUCUAACACAUUUUCUCUGGGGAGUUGAAGCAACUCAUGGUGUAAGUAGGUGUUGCUUGAAGCACUGAUUCUACUAGCACCUCCUUUCCCUCCUUUGAGAUACCUUGUCCUUCCAAUCCAACCACUUUGCCAUUUGAGCUUUCUUUAAUAUGUUUAAAAUUUCCUUCCUUUGACCUACCCACCACGGUUGGGAGCCCCAAAAAAUGCUCGCUCAAUGCCUUAGGAUCUGUGCAAAGAUAUUAACAACAACUUAGUCCUCCUAUUUGCCUCACUUCCCAAAGAAGGUUGAAGCUUUUAGAAAAUUUCCCAUUUGUCCCGAGGCCCACUCGUAGUCAAAUAGGAUAUAUUUAAGGUUACAAAGUUGCCAUUUGACGGUUGAAGAAAUACUAUACUAUCAUCUGCAGAAAUACGAUGGGCUACAUGGGGGUUAGUGCUCCCAAAAGAUAUACCAUUGAUCUCUUUAUCUUUGAGCACUCAUGAGAAAGGCCAAAAAACUCGCAACAUAGAAAAUAAGAAAAUAGGGAGACCAUUGGUCUCCUUGCCAGAGCCCUCUUCAUAGUAUAAAAAAUACAUAACACACUCCUUUCAAUUUGAUAGAAAACCUGGCCGGGGUACCACACAUCAUAAUCGUCAAGAUCAACCUAUCUGAGAAACUAAGUGCCCUCAUCAUCAGAUCGAGGAAAAUCCAAACCACCCUCUUAUAGGCCUUCAUCAUGUAUAGUUUAAUUGCGAACAUUGGAUUUUUCUAUUUCUUGAACGAACAUACUUUGCUCCUGCGUGAUCAUUAUGGAUAUGACAACCUUCAAUCUCUUUGCUAGGCCUUUGAAGCAAUCUGACUGAGCGUGUUCAAUAAGUUGAUUGAUCCCAUUUGAGGAAGUAUCUCCAUUGAGGUAAUUUUGGGGAUUAGGACUAGAACCAUAUCACUAAAGUUUGGUCAAAUAACUCCAUUAAAAGAAUCACCUAUUACUAUGCGUACAUCAUUUUUUAGAAAUAACUAGUGAAAUUGGUAAACAUAAGUGAGAGGUUAUCUUGCCCCUGCGCUCUUUCCAGUCAAAUUUAGAAUAGUGCAUUCUCAAUUUCUUCAUCCAUCACGUCCGUGUUCACCCUCUCCUCCAUAUCACUAGUCACACAGGGUCGGAUGUGAGCUAAGAUGUUGUCAGCAUCAACAGAGGCUUCUGAAGAAAACAACUAAGCAUAGAAAUCGGCCGAAAUCUUCCCCAUCUCAUUGUCAAUAGUACAACUCGUGCCAUCCGCCCUCAUGUUUUGAUCGUCUUCCUUGAGAAAUUCCAGUUGGGAACAUUGCAUACACAUUAUUUGUUCCUGUGCACGAACCACAUGAAGCUACGCUUCAAUCUCGCUGGUCUUCAGCAAGGAUGUCUAGAUCCCAAUGCACUACCCUUUCCAUCGAAGCUGGACCUUGUGCCUAGUAAUCUCACAACAUACAAGAUAAAAUACAGAGCCACUUCAAUGUUUCAUAUCAUUGGUGACAUUGUUACGCUUCCUGUAGAGCUCACUCUGGCCGAAAUUGUUAUCACAUGCACACUAUCAUGCCUACAUGGGCAUCCACCUCUCCUCAAACGUUAAUGCCCUCUUCUUACUUUUGGUAAUGACUAGGUUUUCUAGCGAUCUAUUAACGAGCAAACCAUGGUCUGGUCCUCCAUGACAACAUGUUCAAUGGGUGUAUCCUACAAUGAAUGCACGAAUUCAUCAUUGCAUGGACCCCUGUCCACAUGUACAUAAACGAUCUCAUCCCGCUCCCUCUUAUUGUCCCAAGUGUACAUGUUGCUACUAAAACAAAGUUUUGAAACACUAUUAUUGGCUACACUCUCCCUAAUGCGCUCCAUUUGUGUGAAACUACUCAAGUAAUCUCCUAGUUGUUGUGAUUAAAAGAAUUCUUUGUUGAGGUAUCAUUGUAAUAGAUAAAUGUAUUAUUAGGAUCCAGUCUCUCGGAGCCUCCCUUAGCUACACAAAUUUUCAUCAAUCUCUCUUCCUAUCCAGUAGCUUUAGGUGAUAAUCAUUGUGACGCCUUUGGUGGUCACCAUCACGUUGCCUUGUCUUAUGAACAGAAGUGCCUCGUCUGCGUUGCUCUGAGGUAGAUGGGUCAUCUUUCCCAAUGGCCUUGCACCCUUUCCCAUAUAGAUUUUUUUAUGUCUUGCUUACUUUCAUGCUCCUUCCUCAGGUCCCACUUCCUUUUUAGAUUUAAAUCAUCCCUUAGUUCACAAUAAUGUCACAUUUCUUGCCUGCAUUGGCCCUCCCUACACUUCAUCUUAGGCAGUUACCUGUACAAGACCAUCUCGAGGAUCCUCGCUAGAGAGAGAGUCCACAGAGGGUGUAUAAUCAGUGUAUGACCUGCACGUAAAUGGACGGGCAUGCAACGCUACAUGACCCUGCGCCCAUAGACGCCCUUGCUUGACCUAGUGCUCCCAAAACUAAAGUUCCUGCUUUCUUUCACCGGCCUCUACUUAGUUUUUGCCUAUGAGGAGCCAUGUCCAAGUGAUGCCCUCAACCAUUCACCCAACUGGGGUGAGGAAUCAUUUUGUGGUUCAAAUCAUCUGUCAACAUGUGCUAGUCUGUCGUAGUCAAUCCAAAAGAGAGGUAUCUUCUCAAAUUGAAAAUCAAACAAGGUCCCCUCAUCUUUUGCUGAAGAGUGGAGAAAGAAGCCUUAGACUAGUGAAAGAAAUAUGAAAAAUCUAUCUCUAAAUCUGAGAUGGUUCCCCCAUAAAUCCAUCCUUCUUAACAUCACUCUUUACCACGCCACCAAGACAAUUCCCAAGAGCAUUCCCAAAAGUAUAUGAUCAUUUAUAUAGGGGAGGAUCUGUAAUUAUCACCCAUGGCUCCGUCAUACAAAACAUUAUCUUCGAUGACCUAGUUUUUUCAUCAUAAUCCUUCAAAACUAUCACAUUAAAACCAAAUUGCCACAUUCAAUUAUAUAGAGCGUGCUUCUAGACUCCUUUGUUAUGGAAUCUAAAGAAGAAGAUACUAUUUCUAAUGUGACUUACUUGGACUCCCUAAUAGUGUCACAUGUAUGUUGUGUAGCCCUAGCAAACACGUUGAUGUUGAUUUGCUGGAGUGAGCAUGCCUUUCCAACCACUGACCACCGAGUAGGCCUCGGUCGGUCUGGAAUCCUGAUUCUCAAGCAUGAGAUCUAUUAGUUCCUUUUGUUGUUAACUUCAGGGCUCCUUGUUAAUUUGGUUGAGAGAUUAGUUGCCUCCCCUGAAGCAUUUCCAUCUGUCAGGGACUUUGAAGGUUCUCAUCUUAAUGAUCCUUGGUCGCCCUGUUCACUUGAGCUGUCGAUUUACGCCACGCCUUCUCUCCCAUCGUCGCGCAAAGGAGUGGAAGCACCAAGACCAAUCAAUGUAGGAGUAUAGAGUGUCAUCACCUCAUAGAUGAACAGAAACCUAACCCUAGCACUACUUGUCGGUCGCCUAUAAUCGCCCUUAGCAUUUCUUUUCAUGUUGGGCCCGCCACAAGGUAUUUAUACGUGUGCUUCCAUUGGUACUUUUUUUGCAUUGGAGCCUUUCUGCUACAUUUGCCUUUCUACGAAGGAUGUCUUAUCCAAAUCAUAUAGUCUCCUCUAUCUAUAGGAAGCGAGGACAUUAGCUCUUCUUUUUUUCAAGGCAAAUACACUUGCUAGUGUUCAAGCGACAUCGAAAGAAGUCUUGUCACAUGUGAAGACGACGCUAAGAGUGUGACACAUAUAGGUGCCAACUUGAAGAAUAAUGCAAAUUUCAGUAAAUAUGAAUAGCUCCUGGGGGAACGAGCGCAUAAAGGAAUCAGCCACCAUAAAUGGAUCAUUUCCAAAGAAACAAAGUCACAAAGAGAGAGACAAGACAUUAGCUUCUUUAUGGGGAACACAUAUAUUUAAAUGUUGCCUUGCUCUCUGAUUAUUAACAAGAAAUAAUUUUUACUAAUAUAUUAUGUGUAAAUCUUGAUAGAUAUGGAAUGUAUUUUGGUCACUAUGUUUUAAAGAAUCAUAUUAGUUUUUGGUAUGUAGAAAUUAAAAGAAGUUCAUGUGCCUUCAAGGCAUGUCAAGGUGUGUUGUUCCACCUCAAAAUUGGUUCAUACUAAAUGGUUAUUCUCCCUACAUAUAGCCCCAAUUCUCAUGCUCUCUCUCUCUCUCUCUCUCUCUCUCUCUCUAUUUUAUAUUCCAGACUACUCCAUAAAGCCUAACUGGUGAAGGUCCAGAAAAACCCAGCAGUGACAGGUUCAACUCCCAUUAGUAGUCUAUACUUAGUGGAGGAGAAACAAGCCACUUACAGGCACGAGCCCGCCAAUGGUGAAUAAAUCAGGAAUGAAAAUCAGGCCAUGGCCAGUCCAAAUCCAGCACCUGCCAACAAUGUGUAGUCUCCACUACUCGAACCUACUUUUCCUCAGUGCGUUACAUCAUGCGAUGUUUGGAGAAUCCAUAGAGUUGGGGAUCCGAAUAUAAAAAACAACAAUGGGGAGUGGCUUGAAGAAUAGGAGCCAAGAAGCCGGACGGAGAAGGCCUCCACCAUGCUGCACCAUUGGCCGAUACUGACCCGUAUGGUGCAAGGACCAAGGCAGAACUGAACACCGUCAUCAUCUAGGUUGCAAAGGAAGUUGGACCACUAUGUUGCUUCUCUCGGACAAACUCAAUGAUUUCAUGCAGUUGGCACCCAUGCCACAUUCCAUAGAGAUAACAACAUUGAGGAGGAGGAGGGACAACGCAAGGUUUCUUCCUCAUAGGAAUUAGUUUCGAGGAAGUGGGGGGAUGAUAUGGCAUGAUGAGCAGUUAACAAGGGAAGUUUGCAUGACUGUGGAGGACAAAGCAUUAAGACAAGUGUGCUAGUAGCUAGAUAAGGGAUGAAUGAUAGCAGGAAGCAAUAAUGAGCUUACUGGGUGAGGCUACUAUUUUUUAAGUUGCGACCUACUAAUCAUAACAACAAUUGAUCGUAACAACGUACCAUUGAUGAUUUAGGGUAUUUAUUUAGUAACUGUCAGGAUGUGACUAGGGCUUCUAAGUGGUGGGUUGUAUAUUACUAACAAGUAGCAUGUUUAGCCUCAAUAUUGUCCUCUGUCACUCGUAACAACGUGCCAUUGACGGACCACAUAUUGGGCCCGUCACUACUACCUUUUUCAAACAAAAAUAGAAUUUUAGUUAUAGUUAGAUUCACAACAAUCCCGCCGGCCAUUAGUGUUAAGUAGCAUUGCUGACCAGUUUUUUGAACCACCACUUUUGAUCGAUAACUAGGCGAGAACUCUAGUGUAGUGCACAUUUGUUUGGUUGAGAAUUUUUAGUGUUUUUAUGUGCACAAAGACAUAUCGUUCAACCCUAACAUGUUCUCUUUAGGUGGGGUCGAGAGUGAAGGACUGGGUAGCUUGGAUGCAGGGGAAAUGGCACCUCGAGGGGUUCAAGUCUUCAUGAUCAAUAACCACAAUUUUGAUCUGAAUGAGCUACCGACUGAGCAUGAGUAGCUCAAGAAGGAGUAGUCACCCGUGGAGCAAGAGUAGCCACCUAUGGCACAACAUGAGCUUUAAUAUUCACAAUGGUUGGAGGCUACUCAAAUCCACCUUGUGUGAGCAAAAAUAACUCUUGGCCCAAAGUAUAGCCAUGUCAGAAAUUAUCGAAACAAUAUCCUUAUCCCAAGGACGAUUGUAAAGCUUAUGUGGAACUUUUCAAUUUCUCGCUUCCUAUUUUUUGGUGAUUGCCUGACGCUAUUGCUAAACUUGAGGGAAGGACUUGGUAUACUGCCUCAUGAUCAACGUGUCACCUGGAAUGGCUUUUCUAUUCAUUUCCCAUGAUGGUUUUGAUAUGUAGAUUGUUUGAACAAGCAUUUAUUCAUUCGGUAAAGCUUUGUGAAACAUCAACGGUGGAGCUAGGUCUCUCGUCAUGUGAAAUGACAGUAGGUCAAGAAAUGUG
rnacentral:lncRNA from 1 species